GAUUUAGAGUAUAAUCUCCAAAGAGUAGCUGCCAUAGUCACAGAAACGAAGAAGAAGAAGAAGAAGAAGAAGAAGAAGAAAAAUCUAAGGAACGAGACAUAUCUGUGAGAGAAACAUCGUUUAAAGAAAUCGAAAACGACGGUGAUCUUCUGAAGAAACCAGGCUGUGAAGGCUUUGAGAGCUGGAGAGACUCCGAAUCAGAUCUAAGCAUUGAAACAACUGAAUCCGUUGUUUGUCUUUUGGUAGGAUUCUCUUGAACACAUGACAGAGCAAUCUCUAGGCAUUGCAUUAAUUGUGUGUUUAGAGUAAGAUUUCAGAAGAACAGAGUCUAUUAGAUCCAUUGAUGUUCCUUGAAUCCAAUUUUGCCAAGCCUGCAACAACAAAGAGGCAAAACAUUACUCUUUGGAAUUUUGUGAGUUUUGUGUGUUCUUUGUUGUUGUUACUUACAAAAGUUGGGAGAUCUGUUCCUUCACCAAGCCCUAAUCCACUGUUCCUUUUACCUGUAAUGAUCUCAAGAACAAGAACUCCAAAGCUGUAUACAUCUGUUUUCACUGAGAAUCUUCCAUUGCAUGCAUUGCAUACUCUGGAGCCAUAUAUCCACUACAGAAACAAGAAAGAUGAGAGAGAUUGAGAUUGAUUCUGUGUGUUCCGUUUCUUUUGUGUUUGAGUAGCAAGCUAAGACUUUACUAAGUUCCAGCAACUCGUCUUGUUAUUGCUUGAGUUAUAUCAAAAUCGAAUUGUCUUGCCA